UCCACUGAGCGUUGCCACAUCCCAUACUAAACAAGCAACAGAUUGAAAGCUGGGCCAUGUGGGGAGAGAGGUGAACAUCCCUUGGCUUGUGUCCACUGGUCAAAGGGCAGAAGGAAAGGGCUUGGUACCCUGAAAAGGUGGAUGCAGGCUAUGCAAACUGAGCUCCCCAGAUCUGUGGGUAUUUAUAUUUCCAUUGUCCUUUUGCAUGACAAUUGUGUGUGCGCAAAACGGGGGCUCUGAUUUCACGAGGACAGGAAAGACUUCUCUUGGUACUUGUGAAGCAGUCUGACCAUGUAUUUACAAACUCCAGAAGAAAGACAUGAGCGGAUGGACCGUUUAUUACACAGAGCAGCUCUGUGAGCAUGCAGGCAGCGUGGCACGGGGUGUAGGACCACUAACGAGAGCCUGAAGGUUGAUUUUCCCUGCUCUGUCAGCGGGUCGGGUCAGGCUGCCAGGGCUCUGCAGCAACCUCAAGGAUCUGCGCUGGGGGUCGCCUCCGGAGGAGCCACAGCCCUGCAGGCCUGAGUUGUGAGCAAAGGUCGCCGAGUCUGCGUGGGACGUCCGUGUCCCUCAGGUGUUCCUGCUUGCCACGGAGGCUGCUGAGUCUGCGCCCUGCCCCAGGCCGAGGUAACGGAGCUCAGCUGGGCUCUCUGCCCACUGGAGGCACAGCUGCGUGCUUUGAACCUGCAGCCAAUCCUCCCUUUCUGCUUCAUCUUGAACUCACCCGGACAGAGCUGCCUGAUGGGGUCAGACUGCAGGUAGAAAGCAUUUCACUUCUGCGCUCCUGCAGACUGACACCCUGUGUUCAUUAUUACUGAAAAAAGCAUUUCCCUUUCCUUUCACUAAUGUCACCCUCUUCCUGGGUUACCGACUGGUAUUUUCUGCCACAUGGGCUGUCAAAGUGUAUGGAGCCCUGUAUAGGGCGGUUGAAAAUAUCCUGAUCUUUGUUGCACCGGGAAAUUGAGCUGUACUUAUCCUUUAAAUCAAAAAAACGAUAAAAGGUUCUAUGGUAAAUAUAUAGCUAUAUUUAAAACUUGACAGGUUCCUAAUAAAGGAGGGAAGAAAUACGAGUAAGAAAUAAAU
rnacentral:lncRNA from 1 species